rnacentral:rRNA from 1 species
UGAUGAAUACAUCGCCAAUCUACUUUUUCAUGGGCGGAUAACGAUAUCGGAAACUUACCCUAAUACCGCACACUACCUACGGGUGAAAUCAUGGGAUCUUCAGACCUUGCGCAAUUGAAUGAGCCUAUGUCGGAUUAUCUAGUUGGCGGGGUACAGGCCCACCACGGCGACUAUCCGAACCUAGUCUGAGAGGAUCAUCACCCACACUGGAACUGAGACACGAUCCAUACUCCUACCGGAGGCAGCGAUGGGGAAUAUUGGACAGUGGGCGCAAGCCUGAUCCGCCCAUAGCGCGAGGAUGAACAACGCCUUCGGGUUGUGAAGCCCUUUUGUUGGGAAAGAACUCCCGCUGGUUUAUACCAGGGUGGGAUGACAGUACCGAUAGAAUAAGCACCGGCUAACUUCCUGCCAGCUACCGC